GAUGAACGCUGGCGGCAUGCUUUACACAUGCAAGUCGGACGGGAAGUGGUGUUUCCAGUGGCGGCCGGGUGAGUAACGCGUAAGAACCUGCCCUUGGGAGGGGAACAACAGCUGGAAACGGCUGCUAAUACCCCGUAGGCUGAGGAGCGAAAGGAGGAAUCCACCCAAGGAGGGGCUCGCGUCUGAUUAGCUAGUUGGUGAGGUAAUAGCUUACCAAGGCCGUGAUCAGUAGCUGGUCCGAGAGGAUGAUCAGACACACUGGGACUGAGACAAGGCCCAGACACCUACGGGAGGCAGCAGAGGGGAAUUUUCCGCAAUGGGCGAAAGCCUGACGGAGCAAUGCCGCGUGGAGGUAAAAGGCCUACGGGUCAUGAACUUCUUUUCCAGGAGAAGAAACAAUGACGGUAUCUGGAGAAUAAGCAUCGGCUAACUCUGUG
rnacentral:rRNA from 1 species